AUACGGAGGGUGCAAGCGUUGUCCGGAUUUAUUGGGUUUAAAGGGUGUGUAGGCGGUGUAUUAAGUCAGUGGUGGAAGCCUGCGGCUCAACCGUAGAACUGCCAUUGAUACUGACACACUUGAGUAUGGACGAGGUAGGCGGAAUUUAUGGUGUAGCGGUGAAAUGCAUAGAUACCAUAAAGAACACCGAUAGCGAAGGCAGCUUACUAGGCCAUAACUGACGCUGAGGCACGAAAGCGUGGGGAGCGAACAGGAUUAGAAACCCCGGUAGUCC
rnacentral:rRNA from 1 species